rnacentral:rRNA from 1 species
UGGGGAAUUUUGGACAAUGGGGGCAACCCUGAUCCAGCAAUGCCGCGUGUGUGAAGAAGGCCUUCGGGUUGUAAAGCACUUUUGUCCGGGAAGAAAUCGCACCUGAUAAUACCGGGUGUGGAUGACGGUACCGGAAGAAUAAGGACCGGCUAACUACGUGCCAGCAGCCGCGGUAAUACGUAGGGUCCAAGCGUUAAUCGGAAUUACUGGGCGUAAAGCGUGCGCAGGCGGUUGUGCAAGACCGAUGUGAAAUCCCCGGGCUUAACCUGGGAAUUGCAUUGGUGACUGCACCGCUAGAGGGUGUCAGAGGGGGGUAGAAUUCCACGUGUAGCAGUGAAAUGCGUAGAGAUGUGGAGGAAUACCGAUGGCGAAGGCAGCCCCCUGGGAUAACACUGACGCUCAUGCACGAAAGCGUGGGGAGCAAACAGG